rnacentral:rRNA from 1 species
GACGAACGCUGGCGGCGUGCUUAACACAUGCAAGUCGAACGGACCUGUUUUUGAAGCGCUUCGGCGUGGAUGGGACGGGGCAGUGGCGCACGGGUGAGUAAUGCGCGAGGACCUGCCCGCGGGAGGGGGACAGCAGUUGGAAACGGCUGGUGAUACCCCCGUAGGCCGGGAGGUAAAAGGGCGGAGACGCCCGCCUGCGGAUGGACUCGCGUCCUAUCAGCUAGUUGGUGAGGCAACGGCUCACCAAGGCGACGACGGGUAGCCGGCCUGAGAGGGUGACCGGCCACACUGGAACUGAGACACGGUCCAGACUCCUACGGGAGGCAGCAGUGGGGAAUUUUGGGCAAUGGGGGAGACCCUGACCCAGCGACGCCGCGUGAGGGACGAAGGCCCUUGGGUCGUAAACCUCUUUUGCAGGGGAAGAAGUAGAUGACGGUACCUUGCGAAUAAGUCCCGGCUAACUACGUG